rnacentral:rRNA from 1 species
ACGAACGCUGGCGGCAUGCCUAACCCCUGCAAGUCGAACGAGACCUUCGGGUCUAGUGGCGCACGGGUGCGUAACGCGUGGGAACCUGCCCUUAGGUUCGGAAUAACUCCCCGCAAGGGGUGCUAAUACCGGAUAAUGUCUUCGGACCAAAGAUUUAUCGCCUUUGGAUGGGCCCGCGUUGGAUUAGCUAGUUGGUAGGGUAAAAGCCUACCAAGGCGACGAUCCAUAGCUGGUCUGAGAGGAUGAUCAGCCACACUGGGACUGAGACACGGCCCAGACUCCUACGGGAGGCAGCAGUGGGGAAUAUUGGACAAUGGGCGAAAGCCUGAUCCAGCAAUGCCGCGUGAGUGAUGAAGGCCUUAGGGUUGUAAAGCUCUUUUACCCGGGAUGAUAAUGACAGUACCGGGAGAAUAAGCUCCGGCUAACUCCGUG